rnacentral:rRNA from 1 species
GGCGUAGGCUUUUGUGUAAGUCAGAUGUGAAAUUCCGGGGCUCAACCUCGGAGCUGCAUAUGAAACUGCACGAAUAGAGGAUAGGCGGAGAAAAUGGAAUUCCACAUGUAGCGGUGAAAUGCGUAGAUAUGUGGAGGAACACCGGUGGCGAAGGCGGUUUUCUAGCCUAUAACUGACGCUGAGGCCCGAAAGCAAGGGGAGCAAACAGGAUUAGAUACCCUGGUAGUCC